rnacentral:misc_RNA from 1 species
GCCAAGUUCAUGUCACUUAUGGUUGUGCUCACUUUAUUGUUAGCUGCCCUUAGUGCAGUCCCUGGUCAUUUCCCUAGCUAAAAUGGUUGUGCACAAUGGUUUUCAUCACUAUCGAUUUCAGUGAGUGCUGCCUAGUCAUAUAAACAUGUUUUUAUUUCCUUAUUGGUCCGUUUGGUGAGAUAUGCAAUGGGAUGGCCAACUUUAUCCCAGCCCAUUACAAUUACUUGAAUUUUAGACCUCCAAAUUGGAACCCCAGGCUCUAAUUAUA